UGCACUCCCCGCGGGGGUCCCGGUUCUCAUCCCUCUGGGGACCUGCAAGGAGCCCCGCCCGCGGGGUUUGAACCGCUUGCUGCUCAGCGUCCAGGAGCAGGCCCCGCGUAGGGCCGGGGAGGGGCCUUCGGAAUUCAGGUGCUUCUGCGGGGCCCAAAGCCCCCAGGGCAGGCGGGGACUGAGACGACUGAGGAGUGAGGGACAAGGAGGCUGGGACUGGGGAGGGGAGACCCGGGAUCCGCCCAGAAUGCUUUCGUGGGGUUGGAGAGGGCAGGACACAGCCUCUUCCGGCCCGGUAGGAUCCGAAGACACGCAUCAAAUGCAAACGGAUUCCCGUCCUGGACUUUGGGAAUUAAGGCCCUGAACGCAGUCAGCAAAAAAGUAGAUCUGUCUGUACAGACGUUUCUUUCCACGUCUCUCAUAGUAAGGGCUUUAUUAAAAAGCAGGGACUCGAAUCCUAGGGACAGCCACUGGAAGGCAUUAGGAGUAUGGAACCUGGAUUUUCAGAGCAGUGGCAGGAUGAAGACUUUCCUGGAUACUCAGGCACAAUGCAUUCAGGCUGAAGGCUGCAGUCCUCUUUCUUCAUUACUAUAGGAAUGUUGGUCACCUGAAGCAACCGCAGGUUCCUGGGUUAGGCUGAACUGGUAACUGGAGAGAAUUUUAUAUUGUGUCAGCUCAUCCUCCUCCACCUACUUUCUGGACCUUGGUUAUCCAGAUCUUACUAGGUCUGGAACCCUUCUGAAGACUAUUACAGUCCCAGAGGUACUCAACCUCUUCAGAGAUUUAAAAGAAGCUAAAAAAUGAAACGUGUUUCUUAACACCACUGGUAGCUGGUUCUGUAAUCUCCUCACUGCCCUCACAACCGCCAUAGUGGUUAGUAAAAGAUUUAUGGAAAUCUCAAAUCCUAUGGUUUACAGCCAAGGAAAGCCAGAUUUUUUUAAAUUCAUUUUUUCUUACUAGAUGUUAAGUUUAAGAAAAGAAAACAUCCAAAUAUUUUGAUAAUAUUUCCCAUUUUUCAUGUAUUAAAUAUCCACCACUUAUGAAUUUUAAGGUCUUAAGAAUCAUUUUCCUAAUAGUAUUUAGUUUAGUCAAUUUUCAUGUUACUGAAUAAAGAUUAAGUCAUGGAUCACA